AUGAAAAUAAAACAAUUCAUUUUUAGUGCGCUUUUUGUCGCCGAUUUACGUUUUUAGUUUUUGUUAACUGUGGUGGAUGUCCACAUGAUUCAAGACGGGAAACGUGCAGUUGUUCCGAUUUCCAGCAGAAAAUACAAGUUUACAAGUGCAGAAGAGACAGUCGAGAUCCGAAGUAGAGUGAUGGUAUCAAAGUGUUGAGUCACCACUACCAUAUUAUUCCCAUGGAAUAAAGAGGGAAAUUUCUUUAUCCAGAAACGAGUCCAGAAACGUGGAAAAGAAAAACCAAAAAAGUGACCAGUAAGAAAUGUAGCGAAGAACCCGGAGCCAUGGAAGCAGGUCCUUUCACUUCAACAUUUCCGCUAAAUUCUCGAACACUUGAAAAAACCGAGUUGUACUUUCCCAAAGAAGAAGAAAAUACAAAUUUAAAUGAAACCCUACAACAGUGUGAAAAAAAACUAUUGUUCCAAGAUAUUAGUGGGAAGAUAAACUAGUAUUUCAAUAUAUUGAGCUUCCAACAGCCGCUUACUUUUUAUUGUAGCUGGGCUGUGGAAAUCGUACCACCCGAUUAUCUGUUAUGUACAUUAAUGAAGUUUCGAUUAAAUUUAAAAUAUUUGAAGUGUUUUAGAUUUACAGUGAGUAACAUGACAAUGCAAAACAUUAUCGUCACAUAUUUAUAUGUGCUACUUGUAAUGUUGUCUGGGCCUUACAAGUAAUAUCAAAUAUGACUAGUAGAGAGAAAAAUUAUCUUUUUAUACCUACAUGCUUCAAAGACUUCCCAAAUGGCAGAAUUGUGCUGGAUUGCAGGGAAAUUGAUGGUGCAAUUCCCCCAUUCCUUUAAAAAAGCUUUAUCUUCCAAUUACAAGCAGCGCAGCAACAACUUUUAUGAGUGAUUUAUUUCCGGGAUCAAGGUUAGACAAAGUGGCGUUCUAAGUCACAUGGAAGCUGGAGAUUUAAUUCUUGCUGUCAAAGGAUUUAUGAUAAAAAUUUGUAGUCAAAUUGGUGUUUCUGUGAAUAUAGUCAUUUUUAAGCAACCUCUUAGCUCAGUUUAUGCGAAAAGUAGCAUGUGGAGAUGAUAAGAGUAAAAAAUUUGGAUUUUAUGGCUCAUUUGAGAGAGCAUUCCACUGUACUGUUCAAUCUUAUUACACCACUAAAUAGGUAUGCUGUACUUACAGAAUUAGAAAAAUGUUUACCAUUGGCCACUGAUUAAAUAAUUUAAAAUUAA